AUGGCAACACUUCAAGGCAGCCAGCUUAUAUAUGAAGAGCCCUGUCAAUUUUCCCACCGCUGUGCAUCAUGGAUACCAAACAGCCACACACAGAAAAGAGCUGAGCACACUGCCCUGUGCUGCGUGGCCUUACCCACACAGACAGACCAAGACCAGACGGAUGGAGAACUGAGGCAGGUCCUAAAAGAAGUGGUAGAUCGGCUGUCCCAGAAGGCAGCUGGGUAGUAAGAGCAACAGCUGAGGAUUUCCUCAGUGAAGAGACCUGGCAUUGGUCCCUGGACCCAGUGUGCCCCGAGAACUCGUCAUUGGCCCAGCAUCCCCCUCACCUCCUAGGAUCAGUAACCUGAAUUUCCUCCAAAAAACUACCCUUUCCCCAUUCUCAGCCAUCCGGUUUAGCUGAUGAGCCCCCUCCUAGUCCUAGGGAUGGAUCCUAAUUUGUUUAUACACAAUGACCCCUAGCCAUGUUCACAAGCUAUCUUUAAGAACAACAACAAAUCUCCAUGGCUUUAAUAUAACAGGGGUUUAUUUCUUGCUCAAGGGCCCUAAUGGAUGGGUGACCUUUCUCCAUGCAGUGAUUCAGGGACCCAGGCUCCGUCUCCCUGGGUGACCUGCCCGCCUUAAACACAUGGCCUCAAAGUCGACCUGAGGGUCAUUCCACUCAGCCAGAAAGCAAGGAAGGCACUGGCAUUACUUCACUUCUAC
rnacentral:lncRNA from 1 species